rfam:Gossypium arboreum cultivar AKA8401 contig_130970_1, whole genome shotgun sequence.
AACCCAUGGUGAGGGCACCUUCACAAUAGAUCCUUGUAUCUCUCCCACGCAUCGUAAAGUGUUUCUCAGUCCAUCUUCACAAAAGAAGAAAUAUCAUUACGUAACUU